UACAGAGGGGGCAAGCGUUGUUCGGAAUUACUGGGCGUAAAGGGCGCGUAGGCGGCCUGUUAAGUCGAACGUGAAAUCCCCGGGCUCAACCCGGGAACUGCGUCCGAUACUGGCAGGCUUGAAUUCGGGAGAGGGAUGUGGAAUUCCAGGUGUAGCGGUGAAAUGCGUAGAUAUCUGGAGGAACACCGGUGGCGAAGGCGGCAUCCUGGACCGAUAUUGACGCUGAUGCGCGAAAGCCAGGGAGCAAACGGGG
rnacentral:rRNA from 1 species